UCACCUCAAUCACUUAGUUUUAUUACUAUUGGGAUUGGAUUUGGGAGCUUGCUGGCUUCAUUAGAAGUCGGCUCUCCUUAAAUACAUUAGUGGGCAUCUGACUCGCAUUGCCGAUGUGAUAGUCUAUUCAUCAUUGGUAGUGCCUGUCUAAUGGGUCUGCUUUCGAACCGUCUUCUCAACGGAGACAAUACAUUGACACA
rnacentral:misc_RNA from 1 species